CCGCCACCGUGAGUUCUUCAACCUCUCUCUCAUCUACGAUCUACUAGGCAGCAAGCACGGCAUUCUCUUGCUCUCGCCACCAGAAUUCCUCUUUCUCUUGUCUUUGAGCCGUUGAUGCGACUCCACCUUCCUUCUAUCGACACAAUCAACAAUGCAACCAAAACGAGACCACAAUAGGUAGUAGGGGAAUCUUUUAAGAAGGCGUAGACCACUCAGCACUGAACCGUGAGCUCUUUGAACUAGUGAAGUUGAUUUGACAAUCGGUAAAAGAAGAAGUUGAUUUGAUCUGCAGAAGAAGGUGAAUCCCUUUCAUUUCUCAUUUUUAUUUAUUUAUGUAGUACGAAUAUGAUAGACCCUGAAGGAACAGGAGGCCAAACCCUAGAUACUUAGCUAUGAUGACUACAGAAUGUGGAAGACCAAUGGGUGCUUGACUUUUGGCUCACAAGUGGGCGAGUUGCUAUUGAGUUUGUUUAGGAGUUUGCUAAGUUUAUUUAGGAAGUAACCGUUGGUUUGACGACUAUAAAUAAGUUUGCAGACAUGUAGAUGAGGAGUAACAAAAAAUUGAUUGUGUUUGUGGUGAUAUCUCCUACACAAAUUGGAGACUUUAUUGCAAUUUAAAUAUUUUCAGCUUGAUUUUUUUCUUUUGUAGCUUUGAUUUCUGAUCAUCAAAACUGGUUCUGGAGUCAUUUAUAAUAAGGUGUCUGGCAGAUGUGUUUAUACCUACUGAGGUUUGGUGGCAGAGUCAUUUAUAAUAAGGUUUAGAUACAAAUAAACAAACAUAGAGAGGAGACAGAGUAGCAAUUUAAACAAGAACUGAGAUUUGGUGGUAGCAUGGUAGAGUUAACAACUAACAAAUCAAAAGUUCAUUCUCAGAAGACAUUCACAACCACUAAAAUAGAACCAACUAGCAAGUAUGGAAAUAAUAGUGCCAUUAAAAUAGAACCAAAAAAUACAUCUUUAGGCAGAUUACGCAUGCUCGUAUCAAAAGGAAAUAGUACACGAACACAUCAAACUCCUAGAGAAUACAAGCUGCUAAUAUGGAAUAUUAUGAAGGUGCAAAAACUAUGACACUCUAAGUGACAACUCAGCCAAUAUCCCAGAUUACUAAACUUCUUUAACUGUUAGAUAAUUAUAAUUUAGCACAAUCUGGUCUUGAAUAAAUUUACUUGGGCCAGAGUUGCACUACUUUUAAUAAUUAAAGAUAAAGAAAUCAGCCAGACAAAUCGGAAGAUUUCUCCAUCCGGUAAGCUUAAACUAAUCUAAUUUUCAUAGAUAUUACUCAUUCUAGACAAAAGAACAAAAAUCAAAAUUAUGUGCAAGGAUAUUUUACCCCAUUUCACUAUUUCUGUUCUAUUAAUGGAUUCAAAUUAGGAACCUUGUUUCCAUAUCUUUAGCUAUGCCAUACCAAACAUGGGAUAUUCAACAGAAAUUCCACCCAUAUAUUCCCAAGUGAAUUCUGUUCUAUUCAAAAUCACUUACUAGAUUAUUAACAUUAUUGUUUCUGCUUUUCCUAAUCCCGUGAAGGUCUCACUCAUCAAUUGCUACUAUAUUCUUUCUUUCUUGCAAUUACAUGAAGCCGAACUGAGUUCUAAAAUAGAGUUCUCUUGUGCCUGUGUCUUCUUAGAUCUCGUCUAUGUAUAAGGAUUGGGUUGGAACUCGUUUGAAGCUUUGGUUAUAAAAUCAUUUACACAACUUUUGGACAUUUUGAUAGUUCUUUUUGUUGUAAAUCAUUUUUCUUUGGUUAGAUAGUGUAUAUCUUUGAAUUGGAUUACUUAUUGUGUUUUGAUGAAGUAAUAGUAUAUGGGAUCAUGCUUAUUGACUUAAAUGAAGUACUUUUAAUUUUUUGUUGCCUUAAAGCACUUGUGUGUAGAUUGUUGUAAAUAGGUUUUAAUUCAAAGGUUUGAAAUGAAAGAAAAAAUGUGAAAUAAUUGAUCACAAAAAUAAAAAUGACAUUUACCGUCAAAAAUUCGUUUGCAACGUUCGUUGCACUUUGCGAAAAGCCUCAUUUGCAACAUUCAAUGAAUGUCGUCAAAACUCUUCGCUCUACGGCAACGUUAAAAUCCAAAACAGACGCCUAAACGUUGCAAUGGUCUAUGACAACGUUUUCUGACAGUUGCAAAAGGUGAUUUUUGGUGUAGUGUUUAUUUCCAUUUGUGAAUUUGUAUCCUCUUAAGCAAUAUCUAGUUAUCUAUACCAGGAUAUUUCUGUCCAAGCCUCUUUUAUCCAAUCCAACACUUAUUCGCCAUUGAUUGAAUGCUAGAUUUUCGUUCUAAAAUUGGGCAAACUAAAAAGUAUUUCAAAAUUAGAUGUGACUUGGAAUAUGUUAUUUUUUUUGUUUCUAUACCUUACUUAAUAUUUGGACAAUGAAUUUUUCUUUUUUAAUACAGAAAUCAAACAUUGUAACUUAAAAUUGUUACACGUCAUCUCACAAUUGACAACACCAUGAUCUAAGUAUUCUCCGUAAGUUGUAUAUUCAUGAUCCAUGAUCAUUACAAUAAUUCAAUAUGAUCUUAAGGAAUUUGUUGUUAUUUUUGCUUGCAUAUUUUUUUUCCCAAUGAUUUGAAGAAAUUUGUUGACAUAUCCCUGUCGAAAUGGAGAGUAAAAUCUAGAAAACAUCUUGGCAAAACUGUGAUUCCUUCACGAUUUUUAUGAGCAAAAUUAUUUUGAUAUUAAUUGAAAAGAUGGGUUGGUGUACGAAAUUCUCUCUUAUCAUCGCCCUUCAAGCAUAGUAAGAGUGACAUUGUUAGCAGAUUCUGAUGUUUUAUUGGAAGAGCAAGACCUAUUCCACCUCUACGUAAAUUCAGGAUUCUGCGGCACUAGUAGGUCAAAGAUUUCACAGCUAAGCGUCGACGGAACAGUUGAUAUGGAGGGUUUAUUUACCAAAUGUUCUUGAACACACAACAAUCCCAUGUGUAUGCAUCUCAUAAUAUUCUCCAAUGAGCUUGGACUUGAUAUUCUCAGAUCAAUCAAAUCCAGAACAUUGUCUUUGUUCCAUAAUUUCCAUGACCGGAUAAGAUUAAGAAGAAUAUCAGAGUUAGAAAGGUAGAUAUUACAGUGGACAAUUCUAUAAGUGAAGAAAAGUUUGCUUAUUACAUAUCUUACAAUCUCCAAUACUAAUAUGCCAAAAUUGAAAACAUUGGAUCUUUUUAAAAAACUAAAACCCAUCGCAUAUUCUGGAGCCAUGUAUCUAUUGUAACAGGAUUGUGUCACUAAACAGCACUAGUAUUGGCAAUCCACAAUCUAAAUUGAAUGAAAUUAACAAGCACUUACCAAUUGUUAGAAACAAAUAAGAUACCAAAAUAAGCCUGAUACCAAUUUGUUGAGAACAAUGCCAAAUAAUAAAGACGACAAAAUAAGAAAAAUAUAAAAAAUAAUGGAUCACACAAGAACACAAGAUUUAUGUGGAAGAAUGGGAGAAUUUCAAUAUAUAAAGAAACUAAAAUAAUGUUUACAAGAUUUGAUACUCACACUAUAAAUCUAAAUAAUUCUCUCAUGUUUCUAAUGUGUAUAACAAUGAUAUAAUUGUUGUCAUUUAAGAGUUUACACCACAUUGAGUAUAUAUAGGAACUCAUUACAAGUGUUUUGGAUAAAAUACAACUCAAAAAACGAGUCAGAAUAGAAAAAGGGUUCCUGCCCGCAUAACACUGCCAAUUAAGCACUAGGCGGGUGGCAACUCCGUCGCUUGAGUGAAACUACUCUCAGCUCUGUUUUUCACCCUCGAUGAUCAAGUGCCAAAGCUAGCGGCCAGCUAGCAAAAUUGCGACAACUUUUUCUCCACCAAGACUUAAAAAUCAAGUUUUCAAUUAUUCAAAAUCCUUUUACCAAUCAAACUUCCAAUCCUUGAUGAACUUUGAUCCCUUUUCAAUCGGAGUUCCAACUUAAGAAGACUACAGAUCCUUUUUAUUAAUUUACCAACCUAAUCCUAAUCCCAAUAAAAAUUCAGGUCAUACUCUAACAUGUAUAAGUAAAUGAAUCAAUAAUUUUACCUUUAAUUAACCAAUCACUUAAUAGCAUAUAGACAUAUGUUCUAGCACUAGUGAUAUUAGAUAAUAUUACUCAUUUUUAAAAAUUAAAACUAUAAGUCUUUUGGAAUCAAAUUUUAAGGGUCAACUCUUCAGAAUAAAGAGUAUUUAACUUUUAAGAAGUCUCUGAAAGAUGCUCUUAAUUCUUUACCUAUAGAAAGCUUGUUGUUCGUGCCACUUGCAAAAACAAGAAAUGGAAGAGGAAGAGCUUGAAUUGGUUGUUUUUUAUCCAACCUAAACUCAACCCAAUAUGAUCGAUUUAAUCGAAAAUCACACCAAUCCAACUCAGUUACUAGUUUAAACUCAACCCAACCCAACCCAACCCAACCCAACCUAAAUUGAUCAAGCUUGGGUUGGUCUUCGUUUGAAACCUGCAACCCUGUGGAUUGUUAAUACGUAAUAAAUUUAGUGAGUUGAGAUUAUCGUACCACAUGGAUUAAAUUCAAUUCAAGUUCACUAGUUUCGCAUGGAAUUCAAAUUACGUAAAACAAAGGGAAUUUAAUUUUGUGAUUAUUCUAAAUUAAUCUAAGAAAAUGGUAAAAUUAGAGUUUUUAUCAAAUAUAGAUGAUUGUAUUGGAUCUAGAAUCCGCCUACUGCUAUAUAUUUCAAUUAUUGAUUCAUAAUCUAAUUCUGUUUAUGUGUACUUGACAAUUGAUAAAGUUAUGAUAUAUAAUUUCAUUUCUCAAGACAAAUUAAAUCUAUCCUAAGCAUGAUCCAGGUCUAUUCCUAGGCCAAUUUUGAAUGAUUAGAACGCAUUAAAAUUUGGAUUAUCUAUAUGAUUGCACACAUUAUAAAUGUUAUUCCUAACAUCUAUCGCACAUAUGUUAAUUUUGCUAUGUACAGAAUUUCUUGUGAGUCUCACAACACUAUAACAAGCAAGUAAUUAUCUAAUUAGUGGCCAAUCAAUUAAAUAGUGCAAUGAGUAUGAAAAAUUAAUCAAGAAACAUAAUAAUUAAAUGAAAUUACUAGUCUUGAAUAAAAAUAAAUAAACAAUAGGGUUCAUCUCAUCCAUUACAUGAAAAGAAUUAACCUAACAUGUUAUUUAAUAAAUCAUACAAAAAGAUUUGAAAAAACAUCACCCGGAAUUGAAAACUAUGAUCGGAAAGUGAUAAAUCAACUUCUUCUUCGUUAAUCUUCAACCCGUACUUUGAAUCUUUAAUUUCUCAUGUUAAUCAACUUUGAAUCCCAUGCUAGCCUCUUUCUUGCGGUUAAAAAUAUGUAUAUUAUGUGCUUCCCCAUUCUAGCCAUCCCUUGUAGCUUAAAUAGUAGGUUAUUUAAUUUUAAGAGUUCAGGUUUAAAAAAAAGAAAAAAGAAAAAGCGUUGUGCGAUUUAGGCCCAAAAAUGGCCCCCACGCUCACCGUAUAAUUCAUUGUGUGCAGGUCAUUCACUAAUUUUUCUCUCGAUAAAUGGAUCGUACGGUGUUGCGCACGCGAGAAUUAGAUUAUGCUCACGUAUCGUUAUGAAAAUUUUUCUUUUGAUGCAUUUUGGUCCUUUAAUUUCAUUAUUCAUUCAUUUUAGCUCCUUUCGGUAUCUUCUUGUUCCUCCACUUUCUCCAAUCAUUGAUAUUAGAUCCAAAUCAACUAUCAGCAACACUUUGCAAUUCCCAAACUUUGGAUUUAGUUCAUUUUGGCUAAUUUUUCGCUCCUUCUAUCUACUUCUAUCAUCUUUCAUCAAGAUACACCUAAGAAAUGUAAUAUAUAAAAAUUAAGCCUCAAUUUAUUUAAAAUAAUAAUAACUGCUCUAAUUUAAUGAUUAAGGAAAGUGUACAAAAUACACUUAUCAAACACCCCCAAAUUUGAACAAUUGUUUGUCAUCAAACAAUAUAAAACUUAACUACAUAAAAUUUUCACAAAUAACUUUUUGCCUUUAGCCUCAGGAUUAGACUUUCAGAGUUGAAACUAUAAACUAUUUCAAAAUCAUAAUGCUAAGUCAAUCUCUACAUAUCCAAUUCAAAAUUGAUGUGUGUGUGUGUGAGGAUUCAUGUAAAUGAAGUCAUAAAUUAAUUCAAUUCUUGACCUCUGUGGCCAAAUAUUUCGUUUCUUCCCUCAUAAGAUCCAAACUCUUAAAUUUUAUUCUCUUCUCCCAAGGUGUGAUAUGAGGUUAACUUAAAAAAAAAAAAAAAAAAAAAAAAAAAAAAAGGAGCACUAAUCCUUCUACUAUAAAAAUAGCUUUUUACGACAUUUAUUUAUGGUGUGCAAAUAGGGCAUACCACAAAAAUAGAAUAUUUACGCCAUGCCUUAAAUGUGUGCCAUGAUAAUUCAAUUAAUUAAAGCAUUCACGGCAUACAUUUUGGGCACGCCAUAAAAGUAGACUAUUUACGGCAUGCCUUAAAUGUGUACCGUCGAAUAGAGGCCAAAGGAGAUAAUUGUUUCUAUUCAGAGUACUCAUCCACUAGGCCUAGCUAGCAUUCCUCAAAUUCUCAACCAAAAAUCACUCACAUAUUCCACACACUCUCUUCAGCCACUACGUUUAAACAUCCUCCAUUCAUAAAGUUUGGUUAUAUUUCUCUCCAUUUUUGUAUUCAAAAUUAUUCUUCUUAUUUCAAUGAUUUUUUAAAUUGAAAUGUAAAAUUGUAAUGUUGGGUGAUUUUUUUCAUUUAUUUUUCACAGUUCUUUGUGUAAUUUUUUGUGAUUUAACAUGAUCCUGACUUUAAUUCUCUAUUACUAUUUUUUUUUAACACUUUGUCACUUUCACAAUGUUGCUGGAAUUUUCUCUCGCGUCUCCUAAUUGCACUUUUUUGUCGGAUAUUUGACAAUAGAUUGAAGUCAUUUAGUCCAAAAUGGAUUGCAAGAAUGAUUAAGUUUCUAUAUACAAACAUUCAAUUUAUACUUCCCAUAGGUUCUAUUCUACAUCACUUAUUGUUAAUUUACAAAACCUUCUCUAUGGAUCUAGGUACUUGACUGGGUUUAGUUUUCAUUGUGCUCUGGGGUGCUGAGAAAAGGAAUAAAAGUCUAGACAUUCACUUUUAUGUAUGAUGUAGUUGUUUAACUUGUGUUUCAUUCCUAAAAGCUUAAUCUCACUGGUUGGUGUGCUAUUGCAGGUAACCAAAAAUAAAACCUAUACUCAUAAAAAUAUAUGUUGUAGUGCAAGUAAAGAUCGUUCCCAUGAAGAGUGUCUAAUCUAACUUCAUGCUAAGUAAACAAUGAUGGAGGUUCUAAUCAUAACGCAACCAAUUUAAAAAAAUAACUAAUGAGCAAUGCAAAUUAAUGAAUCGAAAUAAAUCAAAAGGAUAAACUUUGAUAGAAGUUAACAUCCACCGUCCUAUCUCUCCUUAGUUGCAAUUAAUUAGAAAACUAUUGAUUCAAUUAACCCCAAUUAUUAAACAACCUAAGAUAGGCGCUAAGGUUUAGUCUAAUAACAGUCUUAAGAAAUAGAGAGAUCGAUGAAACUAAAUAAUACAAGCACAAGCAGUCAUACUUAAUUUAGUCAAACAUUCUUCCUACGAUUUAACAAUUUCUAAUGCUUCAAAACCAUUAACUUCUAGUUGCUUCAAACAAUUACAAAUUUUCUAUUUAACCAAGCAAUAGAUUGUAGCAAAUAAUAAACUAGAAGGCCUCCUGGUAAUUAAACGUAACAAUUAUGAAAAUACGUGCAGAAGAACAUUCAAUACUCAAAAUAUGAAUUAAACAAUGAAAAUAAUUUAGAUCUCAUAGGUUGAUUGGUUCCGAGGCUUUAGUUUUCUUCGACCAAGUACAAAAGUUUAGCGACACAUAAAAAUUGAAAGUCUAAAAGAGAGGAGAAGGGGAUGGGAGACGUGUUCCUCUUUUUUCCCCAAUUUGUUUCCAUAAGAGUUUAAAUUAAUUUUGAAAACUAAGAUUGUUGCGUCCAAAGAAUCCAUGUGAUUGCAUAGUUCACUGAAAAUAAAGCUCUGAAAUCUCUGAAAAUGGGUAUGUAACCUCGUGGAAUUUUCUACUAUGCAACUGCAUGGUAGUGAAAAAUCCAAAAGUUGCAUUUUAGUCCUUGAACUUUGUUUUCACGUUUCUUGACUUCUUUUCUCAUUUCUUCUUCCAAUACUUUAUGAUUUCUAUAAAUUAGCCUUCAAAUCUUUCAAACAUUCAUUUUGUCUUCUAGGCAAUCUUUUUGGCUGUUUGCACUUUGAUUCCCAGCGUUUAUUUUCUUCCAUUUUGGUCCUUUUUCGCUUGUUUCUUCUAAAUUCUACCAUAUUCAUCCAUUUGCAUCCUAAAUCAAAAUAUAAGAAUAAUGAAUACAUUUAAGCACAAAAUAAUUAUAAAAGCAUAAUCAUUAAGGGAGGAAAAAUAUGACAUUUUACAUUCUCAUCAAUAGUCUUGAACGAGACACAUUACUGCUAUUGUGCCCUAUUUAAUGCUCAUGAUGGGGCAGUAUUUUCCAGCGAACAAGCUUCUAGUUCUGAAACUUGGUUGAAGACUAAUAAAUGCCUGGAUAGAUUAAUACUAAGGUUUGAACUAUUCAUAUGCUUAUUGCAUGUUUUCUAGCACUUGUUUCCUUGAGUUUUCUUUGUUUCUAGGAUAUCAUGGACUUGUAUAUCUAAUUAGUCACUAUUGCAUUCAUCUACAUGUUAAAUUACUGGAAACUCGUAGUAUAUUACUAGUCAUGAUGAAAAUGUGCAGCCAUGUAAACUAUGAUUAGUAGAUUAUGUAUUAUUACAAGUGUGGUAGAAAUGACCAUUUUUUCUUGUGGAGUUAAUCAAAUAUUUUGUCUAUUAAAAUAUAGGAUGCUGAUAUUGAGGAACCUUCCACAAAGGUAACUUUUUCACUUAUAGUUUCUAGAUUUACUUGUUUUUCUUGGUAGCCAUCGCUUUCAUUUGGAUUUCUUAAUUUUAUAUCUUUUGUUUGUUCAUUUAAGAUCUAUAAUUUUCACUAUCCUUGCUUGUAAAAAUGAUUGCAUUAGUUGGUUAGCAGGAAGCUGAACUAGGAUGCUAUGACCAUUGCUGCCUAUGGAAGUCUUGAAACACUUUCACAAGAGGUAAUUGAGUCAAUUUACAGAAAAUGAAAAACUUGAUUUUCUAUUUUGUUAUAACAUGUGUUUGUUGAACUCGUGGAAAUGUAUCGUGCCCACUUAUGCAAUGGACCUAGAUGGUGUGGUGCUUGAUCUUGUAUUCAAUGUUAACGAAAUUGAUGGGAAUGGACUAAAAUUACAGGGUUAAUUUACCAAUGAAAAGAAAAGGAUUGAAAGAAUAUGACCAAAUGAUCCUGCCAUUAGUGAAAGAAUAAAAUAUUGUCUGAGGCUAUAAGAGGUGUUAAUUUCUUUACCAGUGUUGGGUUUAUGAUCUAAAUUAGGAAAAAAAUUAUUUCCUUAUUUUCACGUAAUUUUAUUGGAAAUAUAUUAUUUCCUUAUUUCAUAUUAUUUCCAUCUUUAUGGUAUGAUAUGUACCUAGAGAUAGUGUCAUCUUUUUUCAGUUUAGUUCAACCAAAAUUGUUGUAUUGUAAUUUUCUCUCCAUAUCGUCGUUAUAAUAAAAUAUCGUUUCCUUUGCUUAACUAUCUUUGAUUUCUUUACUUUAAAUCUUAUUUCAUCUUUGUAAUCUUGUUACAUAUUCCAUACAAAGUCAUUAAUCUCAAUCCUUUCGUUGCCUUUGGGAUCAACAAGUGGUAUUAGAGCUAGGCUACGGGUUCUUCAUGAUUUGAUUGGAAUUUUUUAGAAAUGACUCCAUUGAAAUAUGUUAUUCCGCUGUUGAAUCGCAAUACAAGAUCUUCUUGUGACAAGUAAAGAUGAGAGCUAUUCUGGCGCAGUUGGAUUUGGACUAUGCAUUGCUGGGUUUUAAGAAGAUGUCAGCUAAUUGGACGACGGAGGAGAAACAACAGAGGAAUCGGAAGACUUUAUCGCAGAUUCAUCUUCAUUUAUCCAAUAAUACUCUGUAGGGCGCCUUGAAGGAGAAAACAGUGACUACUUUGUGGUUGAAAUUGGAGCACUUAUGCAUGACUAAAAGUUUCACUAGCAAACUGGCUCUAAAGUAAAAGUCGUAUUCCCAUCGUAUGGUGGAAUGAAGGUCACUACAAGACCAAAUUGUUGUGUUCAAGGAAAAAGUUGCAGACUCAGAGACAUUAGAGGUUAAGUACGAUGAGGAGGACUUGGCCUUGACCUCGUUGUGUUCGCCACCCGCCUCUUAUUCUUCAUUUCGGAACACCAUCCUAUAUAAUCGUGAUACUUUGACCAUUAAGGAUGUCUAUGAUGCUCUGUUCUCAAAGGAGAAGAUAAAACAUUUGACUGGAGCUACAUCGAGGGAUGAGGAAGCUCUGAUAUCUCAUGGUGAUCCACAAAUGGGUAGAUUGAGGAUGAACUUCAUCAAUUUGUACUACUUCUACCACAGAAGGAAAGGACGCAUUAAGAGAGAUUACGAUACAUUGCAAGCUAAAGGUAAUUUAGUUACAAAUCAUAAAGCACAAUCAUGCAAUUCGGACGAGACUAAUGUUAUCGAGAAUUUUUCGAAUGGCGGUGAUCGUGGUAUCUAGCGUGGAGUUUAAACUUGAUGAGAAGUGGAUUCUCGAUUCGGUAUGUUCACAUCAUGUGUUCCAAUCGAAAUUUCGUUCAAACAUAUAAGGCUCUCAAGCAAGGUAAAGUUGUGAUGGGGAACAACUAGUCUUGCCAUGUUGCUCGAAUUGAUCGAGUCAAAUUAAGGUUGUAGGAUGGGACGGUUAGAAUAAUUUAUCAGGUUCGACAUGUUCCAGAUCUGAAAAAAAUCUCAUCUUGCUGAGUUCCCUAAAUGCAAAAGGGUAUAAUUUCUUUGGUGGAGGUGGAGUCUUGAAGGUCCGAAGAGGUGUUCGGGUUGAACUGGAUGGACAGAAAAAGUCACAAUUGUACAUCUUGCAGGGAAGGGCAGAACCAGUUAAGAGACAUCUGGAUAAGUUCAGUACCGUGGUAGAUAUUUAGUUCUGGAUCGAUUCAAAACAUUGCUCAAGAGAGUAUUGGUGAUUUCUCUUUGCCACCAGUUUUAGCGAAAACAUUCUGUUCAGUUGCUAGGGUUGGACUCAUGGAAAAUAGCUACAGUGGUGUCAAUGAUAUCUGUAAUGCUUUUGGGAUCACUGAAGGUGAAAAUUAUAGCAAGGAGCCUUCUGAUCAGGCAUUUGAUGUAGUUUCUACUAGAGGGUGUGCUUCGACCCUGUUUGGUCAACAAUAAUUUCUUAGUGGAAUUUUGAGAACUUGAGAAUUAGGUUCGGGUGUUGCUUGUAGACGUACGGCAGAUGAAGAUUUUUUUGUAAUGGAGAGUUUUUGUUACUGUUUUGAAGAGUUCGAUUAUGUCAAUGCAGUUGGACAUACUUUUCCAGGUGGAGAAAUUUUGGAUAUUCAUUCGUGUACAUCGGAAUUUGGGUCAAGGUGGAGAUUGUUGGGUUUAUUACCUAAAUUAGGAAAAAAAAUCCUUAUUUUCACGUGGAAAAAAUUGUUUCCUUAUUUUCACUUGAUUUUAUUGAAAAUAUAUUAAUUUUCUUAUUUCACAUUAUUUUCAUCUUUAUGGUAUGGUAUAUACUUAUAAAUAGUGGCCUCUUCUUUCAGCUUAGUUCACACUAAAAUUGUUAUGUUGUAUUUUCCUCUCCAUAUCGUUGUUAUAAUAAAGCAUCGUUUCCUCUCCUUAAUUCUCUUUGAUUUUUUUACUUUAAAUUUUGUUUAUCUUUAUGAGCUUGUCACAUAUUUCAUACAACGUCAUUAAUCUCAAUCUUUGUGUCGCCUUUGGGAUCAAAAACCAGUGUCUUUGACAAUGUUUUCCACUUCUCUAAUACACGGUGUUUUGUCUACAAUUUGUUCUAUUUGUGGCAGCAAAACUACAACAUAUUAUUGCAACCUUGGCAUUAGGGAGUGCAGGAAUAGGUGGGGGUUUUGCUGGACCAAGAAUUAAACCAAGAGAUGAGCUAUUUGGUCUAAUAAGCCAUAAUUAUUAUUAUUAUCCUUAAGGCUAAAACAUGGUGGAUUUUGUACUCGUUCUUCUUAUUUUUCUUUCUUUCUUCCUCCUAGGUGGGGGGUAGAUUGGUAAGCAGCUCAUGAAUUUGAUUAUAUCAUAUAUGAAGCUCUGACAUAGUUGUCCUUUUAAUGCAAUGGCAAUUUGGGUAUAAUUCGUGAUUCGUAAAGAAGCACUUGCUUUAUUAGCUACGAAUAAUUUUAGGGUAUGCAUAAAUUUUAAAUUGUAACGUGAAUUCCUUCUAUAUAUUCUACAUAAAUAAAAUUAUGUUGGAGUAUCAUAAUCAAUAGCUUGAGACUGCAGUUUAUUUAGCGUAGGUUUGCAGGAUAGUUUUUAUGGAUUAUGCUACUUGUACAUAAUAUGGUGUCAAUAUUCGAAGUGGGUCCCCCUUCAUGUGACAGGAUAGACACCAAUAUGAAUACUCUAAUGUACAUGUAGUAUCACCCAGUUUUUAUGCCGUUAGAGCACCUUGCCACUCUAUAUAUGAGCACAUUAUUUAAAAUGAGUGAAAAUACAUGUAAGUUUAUUUUUGUGAUGUGCAGGAAGUUGAUUAUUUUUUGGAUAGCUAAAGAUCAAAAGAAGCAAAUUUGUUGAUAUAUUGCUCGAUUAUUUUGUAAUAUUUAAAUCAAUUAAUUUUAAAUUGUAGUCUAUCCUUUUGACAUAUUGUAUCAACUUUAUG
rnacentral:lncRNA from 1 species